AGAGUUUGAUCCUGGCUCAGAAUGAACGCUGGCGGCGUGCCUAACACAUGCAAGUCGGAUGUGCCGCAAGGUGCAUGGCAGACGGGUGAAUAACGCGUGGGGAAUCUACCUCUUUGUGGGGAAUAACGCUCCGAAAGGAGUGGUAAUACCGCAUGAGACCAAUGGCUGGAAUGUUGUUGGUGAAACCUGGGGACCGCAAGGCCUCAUGCUCCUGGAGCGGCCGAUAUCUGAUUAGCUAGUUGGUGAGGUAAUGGCUCACCAAGGCGACGAUCAAUAGCCGACCUGAGAGGGUGAUCGGCCACACUGGGACUGAGACACGGCCCAGACUCCUACGGGAGGCAGCAGUGGGGAAUAUUGCACAAUGGGCGCAAGCCUGAUGCAGCAACGCCGCGUGAACGAAGAAGGCCUUCGGGUCGUAAAGUUCUUUUCUCGAGGAAGAAGAAAUGACGGUACUCGAGGAAUAAGCACCGGCUAACUACGUGCCAGCAGCCGCGGUAAUACGUAGGGUGCAAGCGUUAAUCGGAAUUACUGGGCGUAAAGGGCGCGUAGGCGGUUUUGUCGGUCAGAUGUGAAAGCCCAGGGCUCAACCCUGGACGUGCAUUUGAAACAGCAAGACUUGAGUACGGGAGAGGAAAGCGGAAUUCCUGGUGUAGAGGUGAAAUUCGUAGAUAUCAGGAGGAACACCGAUGGCGAAGGCAGCUUUCUGGACCGAUACUGACGCUGAGGCGCGAAGGCGUGGGUAGCGAACAGGAUUAGAUACCCUGGUAGUCC
rnacentral:rRNA from 1 species